CACGUAGGAGGCAAGCGUUAUCCGAAUUUACUGGGCGUAAAGCGCGUGCAGGCGGUUCGGUAAGUUGGAUGUGAAAUCUCCCGGCUCAACUGGGAGGGGACGUUCAAUACUGUCGGACUUGAGGGCGAUAGAGGGAGGUGGAAUUCCCGGUGUAGUGGUGAAAUGCGUAGAUAUCGGGAGGAACACCAGUGGCGAAAGCGGCCUCCUGGAUCGUUCCUGACGCUCAGACGCGAAAGCUAGGGGAGCGAACGGGAUUAGAAACCCCGGUAGUCCUAGCCGUAAACGAUGUAGACUUGGUGUUGGUGGGGUAAAAUCCAUCAGUGCCGAAGCUAACGCGAUAAGUCUACCGCCUGGGGACUACGGUCGCAAGGCUAAA
rnacentral:rRNA from 1 species